AUCGCUGAUGGCAAGAAGCCAAGAAGAGUUUGCACGACCGAAGAAAAAGCACUAUCGCGCGCUCCUUCUCUGUCUGCGCGCGCACGCAUAGAGGCGAACCGACGAAGGGGAUCCUCGCUUUACCAAUUUCGUGAUGGGAGGUAGAGAUUCAGACUCGAGCAGCAGCAGCAGUGGAGAAGAAGACGGGGACGCGGAUUGGAGAGCAGCGAUCAAUUCCAUUGCAACCACGGAUUUCACUAUCACCAUCACUAAGGGUUCCACAACUAAGGCCAGCGAGUCAGUGAAGCACAUUAAUUAUUCGACUUCUAACACUGAAGAAGAUGGGAAUAACGACCACAUUAACCAGAAGCCUCAAAAUCUGAAGCUCUACCAAAUAAAGGCACAGAAGCUUUUAGAAGGCCUCUUAGAAAAGAGCUUGGAGAUGGUGAGAGGUCCUAUUCCUGUAUUGGAUGAUGAUAACCUGGUUGAUGAAGGUGGAAUCCGGCUAUUCAGACAAUCACCCCUUGGGAUAGUAUUUGAUCAUGUUGAUGAAUUUCAACAACCAAGAAAGAAGCCAAGGAUUCUUCCUGGAGAAUUGUUUGAUGAGAAAUCAAAGAAGUUCAGGCGCCAAAUUCAGUCUGUUGCUGUUGAUGGUAUAGAUAUAAUGGCUGCAGCAAGAGAGGCAUCUCAGAAAGCAUUAUCUAGAUUUGAAGCUAAAGUUGAUGCAACCAAAGAAGCAGCCAAACGAGAGGAAGAAAGAGUUGCUGAACUGAAAAGAAUUAGGGGGGAGAAAUGGCUGCCUUCUGUUGCUAGAGAAAUGAGGGUAAAUUUCUAGCAGGUUGCAGGCGAUGGCAUUGUCAAAUCUUAACAGAAAAAUGCCCUAAUCACACAAAAGCUACAAUUGUCCAGAACAUCUGUGCUUGACAUUAACUACUUUAAAGUUUCAACCCAGUGCACGGAAUUCCCUGAUGGAUAGGAUUAGCAUGGUCACUUCAUAAGGAUUGAGUGGAUGACGUACAGACCAAAAAGCUAGGUGGAGCGGAAUUGUCUUAAUAUAUGCUACGGGGAAACUGGACAAUGGACAUUAUAUGAAAGAGACAAGAGACAAAGAGGUGGAGGUGGUUCUCCGAAGAUGGGGAUUCUUCUGGAAAUUUUUGAUGGAUUAGCAAUGUUUGUUUCUACGCUUUGGGCUCUGCAGGAGAGGCGAUUCAAUGCCAUUUUCGAUUCUGUAAGUUCUGCUGCGAGGUCUGCUGUCAUGACUAUUGUGUUGUGUUCUAUUCGUCGGAGGAGAAGAUGGAGUGAUUUUCUCAUAUAAUUUCUUUGUUCAAUUUCAGCAGUACUUGUGUAUUUGUUUUUGGUGGUUUGAGACGAUGAGAGAUAUGAGAUCGACUUGUUGUAAUGUAAAGUUGUCUUGCUAAGAGGUUUAAGAAUUUCCUUUUAAGACUA